rnacentral:rRNA from 1 species
GGGUGAGUAACACGUAGGUAACCUGCCCAUGUGCCCGGGAUAAUUUCUGGAAACGGAAACUAAAACCGGAUAGGUAAUAGAGAAGCAUUUCUGUAUUAUUAAAGAAGCCUCAAAGCUUUGAACAUGGAUGGACCUGCGGUGCAUUAGCUAGUUGGUAAGGUAACGGCCUACCAAGGCGACGAUGCAUAGCCGACCUGAGAGGGCGAACGGCCACAUUGGGACUGAGACACGGCCCAAACUCCUACGGGAGGCAGCAGUAGGGAAUUUUCGUCAAUGGGGGGAACCCUGAACGAGCAAUGCCGCGUGAGUGAAGACGGUCUUCGGAUUGUAAAGCUCUGUUGUGAGAGAAAAAGGAUAUAUAUAGGAAAUGAUAUGUAUUUGAUGGUAUCUCACCAGAAAGUCACGGCUAACUACGUGCCAGCAGCCGCGGUAAUACGUAGGUGGCGAGCGUUAUCCGGAAUGAUUGGGCGUAAAGGGUACGUAGGCGGCAUGAUAAGUCUGGAGUGAAAGGCUACAGCUCAACUGUAGUAUGCUCUGGAAACUGUCAAGCUAGAGUGCAGAAGAGGGCAAUGGAACUCCAUGUGUAGCGGUAAAAUGCGUAGAUAUAUGGAAGAACACCGGUGGCGAAGGCGGUUGCCUGGUCUGAAACUGACGCUGAAGUACGAAAGCGUGGGGAGCAAAUAGGAUUAGAUACCCUAGUAGUCCACGCCGUAAACGAUGAGAACUAGGUGUUGGGGGAAU